CCUGUUUAUUGUUCUGGAUGCUGCCUCUCUCUGGGUUACGAUUGCGUAAGAAAAUCAGUUCCUGCUGCUGCCCAGCCCAAAGCCCUCUGACGCACUCCUUGUUGACCUGCAGCAGCUGGAUGACUGUCACCCCUCACGACACAGCAAGGGCUAGACUUAGUCCGGAAGAAGUUUCCUACUACCUGCACAGUGACCCCAGAGAACAAAACAUGGACCACAGAGCACAGGUUCUGGGCUAGUUUGCUCACGCUGGACAUAUAUGAAACUAUUCAUAGAAAUAAGCGUGAGGAGGAGAAGACUACAAUGCCUAUCUGGCCAUUACAUUGCAAACUGAUCACGAAACUUCUAGGAAUGUUGUACACAAGAUGCUUCACAGCCAGAAUUAAUAGCAAGUCCUGAUAUGAAGUUCAAGGUAAUUUCUAAGUGCCUCUAAGUAGGCUCCAAAAUGUCCCCAAAAUAUGACACCUUUUCAAGGGAAAGGACUGUGAAGCAUCACCUAAGGAACGAUUCCUCCAGCUUCUGAGGACCUUAAGUACUUCUCCCCCAUCUAAGUGAAUGCAGAACUGGGGGCGAGGACCAGCAAUAACGCUCUAAAUCAAGCUCCAUACGAGCUGCUGUACCUCCAUCAAACACAGAGAGAGGGGAGGGAGACCUGCCUUCGGCGCCUAAAGCUAAUCCUCAGGAACAUCUCCUUCUGGCCUCAGCAGCGCUGCACGCGUUGGAUGAAGUCUCCUUCCCCCCAGCAUGCUGUGUAAUUGUAUUCCUAGUGGAGACUCGCUGACUUACUGCUUCUUUGUGUAUACGUAAGUUGUGAAAAUCUGCGUGAAGCAGUAAACACUGUAAGUACAGUAAGAACUGCCCUUUGUGCUGAAGUGAAUGUAUUUGGGGGAUUUUUGUUGAUAAAGGUCUUGAUGUCAGGGGAUAGUUACCUUGCUUGUUAGUUAAUAAUUUCUACUAAAUUGUUUUUGUCAAUUAAAAUAAAUAUAUAAAUUCCUUAAGACAAGAAUAAAUGUAUUUCACAAGUUAAA